AUACGUAGGUGGCGAGCGUUGUCCGGAAUUACUGGGCGUAAAGGAUGCGUAGGUGGAUACUUAAGUGGGAUGUGAAAUCCCCGGGCUCAACCCGGGAACUGCAUUCCAAACUGGGUAUCUAGAGUGCAGGAGAGGAAAGCGGAAUUCCUAGUGUAGCGGUGAAAUGCGUAGAUAUUAGGAGGAACACCAGUGGCGAAGGCGGCUUUCUGGACUGUAACUAACACUGAGGCAGGAAAGAGUGGGUAGCAAAAAGGAUGAGAUCCCCUGGUAGUCCACGCCGUAAACGAUGGGUACUAGGUGUAGGAGGUAUCGACCCCUUCUGUGCCGUCGUUAACACAAUAAGUACCCCGCCUGGGGAGUACGGUCGCAAGACUAAAACUCAAAGGAAUUGACGGGG
rnacentral:rRNA from 1 species